UGUCGUCGUUAUCCGAAGACGAGACUGCGUCUGCGUGGACAAAAACAUCCGCUUACAAACACAUUGGCAGCGUUCGCAACAAACUUUAGGAGCCAUGCGUGGAGCCCUGCAGCUCCCGAGGCUCGGCUAUCGGGUUAGCAUUAGCCUGCUAGCGCCAGCCUGAGCGGAGCUUCCUCACACCAAGUAGAUCUGUCAAAAGCUAACAAACUUACAGCUGGACAGUUCAGCACGUCAUGACUGAGCGCGUCAGAGGCACAAACUCUGUACCGAAACGCUUAGCUUUGCGUACGCGCAUGUGCACUGCUGUCAAAGCGAGCUAUUAAUACUGCAUUUUGUAGUAAUAUUUCUGACAGUUACUUUGCUGGGGCUCUGACAGACCCUGAAUGGUGGAGGAGCUUACUCAACUCAAUCACAGAGACAGUUGGACCACGCACUCCUCGAAGAGUUUGUCAGCUAAACACCACCACCGAGGCGCCAACUUACUAUCAACAAAACGUAAUUUAGUCGCACUGACGAAGGAAGACCAAGCAGGCGAAAAACGAAAGAACGAGAUAUGGUGACGUCGCUGUCGGAAGGUUUCGGCUAACGUCGGUCAUUUCCGGCGGAUCAAGCGGUCGAGUGACAAAAAGGGGAGCUAGAUGGGAGUUCAAAAGUUCACUGUGUUCGCUGGAACUACAUGGGAAAAACAGUUAUCAAGUAAAAAUAAAACAUUUUUAAAAAUGAA